AGCGGAGAAGCGCCAUUUUGUACGGAACGUUAUCAAACGUUAAAGCUUUGUGAUAAACCAAGAAUUCAGAAGGAUCACCACUGUUAACCUGGAGACAACAUUCAUGGCAAAGCUGGACCAGUACUCUCAGAAAAUAAUGUCCUUGCUGUCCUCAAGAGGAGGGGCUGCAAAAUGCGCAUUCGGCGCAUCCAGAACAUGCUGCUAGAGGACGAUUCUGUGGAGAGAAGGCGAGAGGUCGCUAUCCGUGGCUUAGUGGUGUAUCUCAGGGAAAAGGAGGAGGAUCUCUUCAAAGAGCAGGUAAAUCAGACAUGACUAUACUUUGUAUUAGAGCUACGAUCUAAUCUAUUAUUAAUUGAUUUCUAAAUUAAUCGGCAACUAUUUUGAUAAUUGAUUGAUCGGUUUGAGUAAUUAUUUUAGAAAAAGAAGUCCAAAUUCUCUGGUUUCAGCUUCAUAAAUGUGAAUGGUUUCUGGUUUCUUUACUCCUCUAUGACAGCAAACUGAAUAUGUUUGACAUUUGAGGUCAUCAUAUUGGGCUCUGAGAAACAUUGACAUUUUUCACCAUUUUCUGACAUUUUCUGGACCAAACAACUAAUCAGAUAAUCGAGAAA